rnacentral:rRNA from 1 species
AGACUGCCGGUGUUAAACCGGAGGAAGGUGGGGAUGACGUCAAGUCCUCAUGGCCUUUAUGCCCAGGGCUACACACGUGCUACAAUGGGUGGUACAAAGAGCAGCCAGCUCGCGAGAGUGAGCAAAUCUCAAAAAGCCAUCCUCAGUUCGGAUUGAAGUCUGCAACUCGACUUCAUGAAGUUGGAAUCGCUAGUAAUCGCGGAUCAGCAUGCCGCGGUGAAGACGUUCCCGGGCCUU